rnacentral:rRNA from 1 species
AACUGCCUACGCAAGUAGUGAGGAAGGCGGGGAUGACGUCAAAUCAGCAGGCCCUUACGUCCAGGGCUACACACGUGCUACAAUGGCCGAUACAGAGGGCAGCUACCUGGUGACAGGAUGCAAAUCUCCAAAGUCGGUCUUAGUUCGGAUCGGAGUCUGCAACCCGACUCCGUGAAGUUGGAUUCGCUAGUAAUCGCGCAUCAGCCAUGGCGCGGUGAAUACGUUCCGGGCCUU